rnacentral:pre_miRNA from 1 species
UUGGAUGAAAUCAAUGUAGUACCUACACUUUGAAAAUGAAACCCACAUAUAAAGUGGUGAGACAUACAUUGAUUUCACCCAA